CGUUUUCAAGAACUAUCCGAAU
rnacentral:snRNA from 1 species